AGUUUGAUCCUGGCUCAGAUUGAACGCUGGCGGCAUGCCUUACACAUGCAAGUCGAACGGCAGCACGGAGCUUGCUCUGGUGGCGAGUGGCGAACGGGUGAGUAAUAUAUCGGAACGUACCCUAGAGUGGGGGAUAACGUAGCGAAAGUUACGCUAAUACCGCAUACGAUCUAAGGAUGAAAGUGGGGGAUCGCAAGACCUCAUGCUCGUGGAGCGGCCGAUAUCUGAUUAGCUAGUUGGUAGGGUAAAAGCCUACCAAGGCAUCGAUCAGUAGCUGGUCUGAGAGGACGACCAGCCACACUGGAACUGAGACACGGUCCAGACUCCUACGGGAGGCAGCAGUGGGGAAUUUUGGACAAUGGGCGAAAGCCUGAUCCAGCAAUGCCGCGUGAGUGAAGAAGGCCUUCGGGUUGUAAAGCUCUUUUGUCAGGGAAGAAACGGUGAGAGCUAAUAUCUCUUGCUAAUGACGGUACCUGAAGAAUAAGCACCGGCUAACUACGUGCCAGCAGCCGCGGUAAUACGUAGGGUGCAAGCGUUAAUCGGAAUUACUGGGCGUGAAGCGUGCGCAGGCGGUUUUGUAAGUCUGAUGUGAAAUCCCCGGGC
rnacentral:rRNA from 1 species